rnacentral:lncRNA from 1 species
AAGACAUGGCCGCUUACCCUGUCUGUGCUCAUCCCGUCCUCCACAGGGGCCUUUCUUACAGAGUGUGCUCUUGAUCAGUGUGGGCACUCACCUAAUUCCUGUCUUCAUACCUUUGGUCAUGCUGUCCUCUGCACCACUCUCUUCUUACGUUUAUUGGUGGUCAUUCCUCAGUGAGAAGGAAAGAUGUGCCUUCUCUCAGGGUUUCAGAGAAGCAUUCAUAAACUUUCUCUAAAGGGCCAGGUUUUAAGUACUUAGGCUUCAUGGACCACACAGUCUCUGUUGCAACCUCUCAACCUGUCCUUUUAACACAAAGCAACAUAGUGUCCAUGAGUGAGUGUGGCAGUGUUCCAGUAGAACUGUUUGUAGGCCUUGAAAUUUAAGUUUCACGUAAUUUCCAUGGGUGGUGAAAUAAUUCUUUUUUUUUUUUAAUUUUUUUCCCAACCAUUGGAAGAUGUAAGAACCAUUUUGUGAGCAAGUAGAACCAGAACAGGUGACAGGAGUGCUCUGGCCCUGGGCUGUGCUUUGUCAACACCUGUUUUGGAGGAAGCAGCAUCGAAGAGAAAGCUGAAAAUAGGAGUAUACUACUACCUGCCCAACUUGGAAACAAAGCUUACCCAGAGAGAGAUAAUUGACAGCUCUGACCUUACUGCUAUGCAUUCAGAGUGUUUGUGGAGCCCACAGUGUUUUCUGAUCACAGAAUUCCAUCCCCUCUCUAGUCUCCAUUGUUACCUCCUCAGCCUGCUCACCCACAAGGUCUCCUGCUCUGCCCCUCCAUGCUUUCCCCACCAGGAACGACCAUGAUCCUCGGCAAAUAAGGCAGGUGGGGGAGCUCCCCUGCGGUUCAGUGGGUUAAGGAUCUGGCGUUGUCACUCCAGUAGCUCCAGUUGCUCCUAUGGCUCUGAUGUGAUCCGUGCGAACUUCCACAAGCCGCGGGAGCAGCCAAAAAAAAAAAAAAGAGAAGGGUCCUAUCCUCAAGUAGAUGUCUUUCCUGGCCUGGGCCUGCCACCCUCCCCUGCAUGCUCCACUUCACCACUGCCACUCGUUCCGGCAGGAUAUUCAUCCCAACCUCUCUGCUGGCUCCUCCUCUCUGCCCUCCUGUAGCAGCUCCAUGGGACCCCGCGCUGCUCCCAAAUCCUCCCUUCCUCCCCCAUUAGCUGCACUUACCGUGCUUCCCUGUUUCUUUGUUUUCUCUUGGUUAUCAAGGCCUUGGUUAUCUCGCCGACCACUGCAUGCCCAUCCCUAGCACAGUGCCUUGCAUGUGCAAUCGAGGACAGGAGAAUGAGGUAAGCAUGUGAGGUAAGCAUCUGACUGCCUGAGAACCACUUCAAACAGCACUUGACAGGGAAAGAGAACGGUGGCUUUAAGGAACUACCAAUAACUAAAGAACCCUAUCAUUAUUUUUUUUUAUAUGUGCUACUUCCCUUACAUGGGCUAACCACUUGGCUGAAAACGAUGACAUGGAAGGAAAGGGAAAAACAGGGCAGCUCAUAGAUGCUUGUCCUAUCAGGUUUUCCAUACUCACUAGAAAGAUGAAGGUGAUGUUAGCAGAAUGUGAAACUAUGAAGAAGUGAAAUACAGCUGAUUUUUCUCUGCCCAGGUAAGAAUGGACUCUGUAUACAUGUCUGAGCAAUGAAUUGUGUAACUUCAGGAAUUAUGCACAUGAACUGAAGGUUCUUAUAUUUGCAUUUAAAACUGGCAUCACACAAAAUAAAGAUAAAUGGUACAAUUCACACCAUUAUUUUAUUUUAUUUUAUUUUAUUUUGGCUGCAUCCGCAGCAUAUGGAAAUUUCCAGGCCAGGAAUUGACUCCAAGCCAUAGCUGCAACCUACACCAUAGCAGAGAUAAUGCCGGCUCCUUAACCUGCUGUCCCAUGGCAGGAACUCACAUACUAUAAUUUUAAAUUUUAAUUUUCUUAGAAUGACAUUAAAAAGCAAGUAAAAACAAGAGAGAGAACACACACAAAAAAAAGCACUUUCUGUGUUCGUACCUUUUACAGCACUUUUUCACUGCUAGCUGCGUAAGAGAUUACACGUUCAUUUGUACUGCAACAGUUAUGUUGUAGACCCGGUAUGUGGAGAAAGGAGAAAUAAAGUCAGGAAAGCUUCAUUGUGGAGGUAACAUUUGACCUGCGUCUGGAAAAUAAUUAGGGGUCUCCAGGUAGAAAUAAACAGAAGGAACAACAAAAACUCCUUUCAGGGGAUAUAAACAUGAGCCUUGGCCAUUUGGGCUGUGCCAUAUUGGGAUUUAUAAGAAAUCACCAAUGGCCAAUAAUUUAAUCAAUCACAAAGACUCUGGGAACCCCUGGUGUCUCUUCUUGUAAAGGUAUAAUACCAUGAUGAGGGUCACAGUUACGAUCUCAUCUAAACUUAAUUAUCUUCCAAAGGCCCCAUCUCCACAUAGCAUCAUCACAUUGGAGGUGAGGGUUUCAAUGUGUGAGUAUGAGGCAGGGCAAAAGCCAGUCCACAGCAACAUGCAUGCAGUGUCUGGGGACUAGUGGCUGGGUUUGUAUGAUGAGAGUAGGUACUGAAUAGGUAGGUAGAAGCUGGAACAAAGCUAGUGUCAGGUUUAAAGUACCUCUCUACUGUGCUAAGAUUUAAACUUCAUGUUAGAAAAUUGGAGGAGUUCCCAUUGUGGCUAAAGUGGGUUAAGAACCCAACUAGUAUCCCUGAGGAUGCGAGCUUGAUCCUUGGCCUCACUCAGUGGGUUAAGGAUAUGGCAUUGCUGCAGACUGGCAUAGACUGAAGCUUGGAUCCCGAGUUGCUGUGGCUGUGGUGUAGGCCGGUAGCUGUAGCUCUGAUUCAACCCCUAGCCUGGGAACUUC